UGCCAUCCGGGAAUUGCGAAUGACUUAUAGUACCCCUCGUCAGAGACCCAACAUCCCUGUAUCCACCCCAUGCCUUAGCAGUUAGCAAGUUUAAAGACUCGGCUAGACGGACUUACUGCAGGCCCGCAACCCUUUGGUGCUCUCAAAUCUAUCAGGAGACCCGUUUAUGAAUACACUGAUGAAGGUGCUUUGGUUAUUACUGACAACAGUGACAAAGCUGGGCAUCACUUCGUCUUCUUCUUCUUCUUCUUCUUCUUCUUCUUCUUCAGUUACCAGAGUUAGGGUUUCGAACUUCCAUGGAAGCAGAUCAUCAAAGAGGUGAACGUAGACUCCCCCCAUCACCAAAUGUUGCACCUUGGCUUGUUUUCCCACAUGGAAAAGAUAGUAAGUUUCAAACCUUCUAUAAUAUAUGUGAUCCCAUGAACAAAAUUUACAAAAAAUCCAUACCGUUGUUUGUGAUGAUGAUGUAGAAACUAAAUUCAAUUUUGGGAAUUGUUUCCUAUGAAUCCUGUAUCACUGGACACUGUCAUGUUGCCUAAUUUACUUCAUGGUCUAAAUAGUACCAAUUUUGAUGAAUAUUAUGUCAAAGAGGCUUUUUUAUCUUCACCUCCUAAGAGCAGCACCAGUGGUGGUGGUGGUGGUGGUGGUGGUGGUAGUAUCUGUGAUGAUUCCAUGGUUUAUAUACUAUUGCAAGGAUGUGAAAGGCCUGAUAUUCUUUUUUAUUGUCACCCUGGUGAAAAAGAUUGGAGAAAACAUGAGUUUGUUAAUAUUACUGAAAGUCUUCGCACAAUGUUAAUUACUAAUGGUAAGUUAUUUAUAAUGUGUGUGAGUGGUUUCUACUUGGAGAUUGCAAUACGACGAGGGUCUGAUAUUGAUGAUAUGAAACCCUUAGCAUAAGUGAAUUUAUGUGGAUAGAUGACAAUGUCGAACCUGAAUCAGUAGCGGGGGGUUUGGAUUGUCUUGUUCAACAGUACUGGGUGGAGUCUUUCGGUUUUGUUUAUAGAGUAGAAAGGUGUUACAUUCCGAGAGGUGCUUAUCAGAACUGUGUAACCCGAAUAAUAAUAUCAAAAUUGGAUUUGGAUUUCUCUACAAUGGCUUGGGAGGAAGUGAAUAGUUUGGAUGACUAUGUCUUCUUUCUAGGCAAUCGUACACAACUGUCUUGCUUGGCCUCGGAGUUGGGAUUUUCAAAGGGGUGCGUGUAUUACACACAAGACUGGGAAAUGUGCCUUUACAGAUAUGACUUGGAAGACGGAAGUAUUUUACUUUCUUUACCAUGUCCUGAGCUACCAAUGCCAUGGGACACGCCUGAAUGGCUGAUGAUUACUACCACUCCAAGGUUUGAUAACAAAAAUACAGCAGACUGUGUUUAGGAAAGGACAAACACAAGGAUAAAGUUGUACAGGCAAUCGAAAACAUAGCUGUUGUAGCGAAGGAUGGUCAGAAAGAGGAUGUUGAAGAAGCAGGACCAUGGACGAUGCUUCAGGAUGAUAUGGUAAGGUCGAUUUCAAAGUAUCUCCAUACAGUGGAUUACAUACAAUUACGUGCAGUUAGUAAAAAGCAUCGAUCGAUAUUAAGUCUGAGAAGAUCCUAUUCUACUUGGACUACCCCAGAUUUGUCCCCAUGGAUGGUUUUUCCUAUAUAUAAUCGAUCCGUCUACAAUUUCGUAAAUUCUAUGCAUAAUAAUGACAACUACCUUAUGAAAAUCCCUGAAUCGUUAAAAGGCUCUAGAAUUCGGUUUUCCAAAGGUGGGUGGUUGCUCAUAUCAAAAGGCAAGACAUUGUUCUUCUACAAUCCCUUCACAAGAUCCAGUAUCGAACUUCCGGAAUUACCAGAUGAGCAUUGUUAUGAUUUCUCAGGUAUCUCAUUCUCGUCCGCGCCCACUUCUUCAGAUUGUGUAGUUUUUGGCGUCAGUAAACAAAUUGGGGAUAAUGUUUUCACUUUCUACAUUAAACGUGGAGAUGAACAUUGGACAAAUGUUUCCUUUGACGGUUUUUAUUGGCUUCCCGAUAGGAAACCCAUGGAAUUUGAGGCGGAUUUUAACAGUCCAGUUUUUUUAUCGUGGAGCAUUCUAUUGCUUAGACAUCAAUGGAACUUUAGGAGUAUGUAAUUUGGAGCAUGGCAUUAAUUGGGAAAUAUUAGACACGGUGACUCGUCCUAACUGUGAGUUUAUCUAUAAGAGUUUCUUGGUGGAGUGUGAAGGAAAACUUUUAUCUGUGUUUUUAGGCCGUUUCGGAAAAUGGGUUCGCAUUUUUAGGUUGGAGCACAAUGAUACGGUUUGGGUUGAAGUUAAGCAUUUGGGGCGGUAUAUCUUGUUCAUUAGCAACACCUCUUGUAUCUCAGCAAUUGCUCAGACAAGUCAAAUGGAGAACAAAGUCUCCUUUCCAAGGUUGCAUAACAAAGGAAUUUUGUACUAUUCCCUUGAUACAGGUAUGUAUCACUGUUUUGGGAGUGGACAUUGUGCUAAAGAUCUCAGGUGGACAUUGUGAUUCGGAGGAGGAUUUAAACUGCAGUUGGAUUGAACCUAAUUGGUCAGAGAUCUCAGGUGAAUCUCUUCACUGGCUCAGCGUGCCCGGAUAAAUAUAUUAGCCUCCUUUUGCCAUGUAAUCUUUUUCUGUGUAGCAUUAGAUUCGUUAUGUGCGUGUGUUUAUGAAUUUAUGCAGUUGACCCAUUAUAUGACACAUUUUGGUCUCUUUCUCGGUUGAGUGGUGAAACUGUUCAAAGUGCUUGAAAAUUGAAAAUUUUGAA